rnacentral:rRNA from 1 species
GACGAACGCUGGCGGCGUGCUUAACACAUGCAAGUCUACGAGAAAGAGGUAGCAAUAUCUUGAUUAAAGUGGCGCACGGGUGAGUAACACGUAAGCAAUCUACCCUUAGAUCUGGAAUAACUUCGAGAAAUCGUGGCUAAUACCGGGUAAUGCAGCGGCACCGCAUGGUGAUGUUGUUAAAGUUUCGAUGUCUAAGGAUGAGCUUGCGUCUGAUUAGCUAGUUGGUGAGGUAACGGCCCACCAAGGCAACGAUCAGUAGCUGGUCUGAGAGGAUGAUCAGCCACACUGGAACUGAGACACGGUCCAGACUCCUACGGGAGGCAGCAGUGAGGAAUAUUGGGCAAUGCCCGCAAGGGUGACCCAGCAACGCCGCGUGGAGGAUGAACGCCGUAAGGUUGUAAACUCCUGUUAGAGGGGACGAAUGAUUCCGAUUGUAUCGGAAGUUGACUGUACCCUCAGAGAAAGCCCCGGCUAACUACGUGCCAGCCGCCGCGUAAAAC